CAGUAGCCGCGGUAAUACGUAGGGUGCAAGCGUUAAUCGGAAUUACUGGGCGUAAAGCGUGCGCAGGCGGUUAUAUAAGACAGAUGUGAAAUCCCCGGGCUCAACCUGGGAACUGCAUUUGUGACUGUAUAGCUAGAGUACGGCAGAGGGGGAUGGAAUUGUGCGUGUAGCAGUGAAAUGCGUAGAUAUGCGGAGGAACACCGAUGGCGAAGGCAAUCCCCUGGGCCUGUACUGACGCUCAUGCACGAAAGCGUGGGGAGCAAACAGGAUUAGAUACCCCCGUAGUCCCUGUCUCUUAUAC
rnacentral:rRNA from 1 species